rnacentral:sRNA from 1 species
AUGCUUGGGCGCGGUGGCUUUGGUACAGUCUAUAAGGUGAUGGUUGCUCUAGUAGCCUUCAUUAGUUCUUCUUCAAAUCAAAUAGAUAAGUACUAAUAUUCGCUGCUUCUUUUGCCAGGGAAAGUUGCGUGAUGGACAAGAAAUAGCAGUGAAAAGACUAUCUAGAUCCUCUGUACAAGGGCUUGAAGAAUUUAUGAAUGAGGUGUUUGUGAUCUCUAAGCUGCAACAUCGAAAUCUUGUGAGACUUCUUGGCUGCUGCAUUAAGGGAGAAGAGAAGAUGUUGAUCUAUGAGUACCUGUCAAACAAAAGUUUGGACACAAUUGUUUUUGGUUAGUACAUUUAAAUUCCCUUCCUUUUAGGCUCUUCAAUAGAAUAACUCUAAAAUCUAGAAAUCUGGUUUCUAUAUACUUAAUGUGUUGAACCCUUGACCUCAAUUUACAAAUUUACUCUAACUCUUUGUUAUUUCUUUUUGUCACCAUUCAUUUAGAUCCACUCAACCAAAAACACCUUGAUUGGAAAAAACGCUUCAACAUUAUUGAAGGAAUUGGUAGAGGUCUGCUCUACCUUCAUAGGGAUUCUAGACUGAAGAUUAUUCAUAGGGAUCUAAAGGCAAAUAAUAUCUUGUUAGAUGAAGAGCUAAAUCCAAAAAUAUCAGACUUUGGAAUUGCUAGAAUUUUCAGUGGCAGUGAAAAUCAAGCCAAUACUAAAAGGGUCAUCGGGACAUAGUAAGAGCUUUGUUGAAAUUAAAUUUUAAACAACAUCACCAAUAUUUGUGCUUAAAUGAUGAGAAGUGUUUCAUUGUUCAAACGCAGCGGAUAUAUGUCUCCUGAAUAUGUAAUGCAAGGCUUUUUCUCAGAGAAAUCAGAUGUUUUUAGCUUUGGUGUGUUGUUACUUGAGAUUGUUAGUGGAAGAAGAACCAGUUGCUUUUAUGAUGAUCAGCAGUACUACUUGAGCCUUGUAGGAUUUGUAGGUCUAUCUGACUCAUUGUCCUUCCUUUUUCUUUAAAGCUCAGUUAAUCAGUAUAUUCAUUUUUUGUCUUUCACACUUGUCAUCUUUCAGGCAUGGAAAUUGUGGAACGACGACAACAUUAUGGCUUUGGCAGACCCAACAAUAUGGGAUCCUUACUUUCAAAUGGAGAUGUUGAGAUGCAUACAUGUGGGACUGCUGUGUGUGCAAGAAUUGGCAGGAGACAGGCCAACUGUGUCUACUAUAAUUUCAAUGCUUAAUAGUGAGAUUCUGGAUCUACCCACUCCAAAGCAACCUGCAUUCACAGAAAGGCAGAUUGCUUCAAGUAAAGAGCCUGCUCAACUGGGCCAGAUAAAGUCCUCCAGUUGCAAUGUCACUAUUACAACGGUUUAUGCUAGAUAGGAUGAAAGUGCUUGAGAUAGCAUUCCCUUUGUUUAGUAUCUUUAAGCAUGCAAACCGUACUCUCUUUUCAAAGUUCAAAUAUAACAAAGUUUGAAUUCUACAUAUAACAAUUCUAUAAAAUUUCAGAAUUUCUUAAUAAGUGUUCAUAUAUUCUGCACCAAAAAAAAAAACUGAAUAUGAUUUUCUAAAUGGACAACGAAGACACAAUGAAAGAGCACCAUUAAAAGGUCAUAAUUGCAGAGUUAAAACUUUAAAAAGGUCAUAAUUGAAGAGUCACAACUUUCAAUAUACUGUUAAAAUUGUUACUAGCUUUAGAAUCCUCACUUAAGGCACUUUUUCCAGCAUCGUUUUGCAGAAUUUUGAAACCUCAAUUCCAAAUGCUAAUCAUGGUGCUGAUCAUACUGGGGGGGGUCUACUGAUCAUGAGUGUGGUUUGAAAAACUCUAGAUGAAGAUGAUUGUAACACGUGACCAGAAAGAAAGCUAAUAAAGGCCACUGAUCAGAGGUGUAUUUCGAGUCAUGUAGGCUGAAGAUAAUAGAUACGUGUGACAAGAAAGAAGUUGACAGGGAGAGGAUAUCAUUUAGUUUUGUUGGGUUUUAUGGAGCCUAGUUGUGUUUGAUCUGGUUGACGACCUGAAGAUAAUGUUGAAGAUAAUGUUGCGUGGUUUUUAAUAGGAGAUUUUCUGAAGCUUAAUCCAUGGAGUGAGGCUUCAAGCCGUAGCACUCAUGGAAAAAAUUUUGGCCCAUUUUAUAGCCCAUUAUGAAUCUUGUGUGCAGGAUAUAGAAAACAUUGCUUUGGUUAUUAAGGUUUUCUGGUUGUUAUUUUUGAGAGAGUAAAAAACUAUAGCCGCACUUUGUAUUUUUUCCUAAUAAUAGUGAAAUUCCUACAACUCUGUGGACGUAGGCAAAUUGCCGAAUAUUUCUUGUCAAUUCCUUACAAGUUUGGUUCAUGAUAUUCAACCAUGAUAAUUGAGGACAAUUGAUUAGAAGGAAAGCCAAAGAAAGAUGCAUAUGUCUAGUGAAUGUAGUCUAAAUAACUAAGAUCAUCUUAUCAUGAAAUAUCACUUCAGAGAAAGACAUACUACUGAUACUAGGUUGUCAAGAUGUUGGGAAAAUUAAGGCAAAAUAAAGGAAUAAAUGCAUAAAUAAAUAACAAAGUAGGCUUACAAAAGGCGCAAAGUGGAUGUUAUCUUUAAGACUAUUUGUCUCUACUCGAUUGAGACUUGAACUUGGCUAGAUUAUAAACAAACAAAUAUGAAUGAACAAUUUAUUGAGCCAAGCACAAACAGUUUAUGAACAAUUUAGUUCAUUUUUAGCCUACCUGGUUGCAAGAAGCUAGUCAAAAUACGAAGAGGAUGACUUACCUGGGCCCUGGGGUGACAGAAAGGACAGAGUUGGAUGCAUUCGGACUUUCGGAGACUGAGACAGAAGCUGAUCGUGGAUUACUUGUAUGUUUGGUUUACAAACUAAAGGUGGUGUUGAAGAGAAAGCCUUGA